rnacentral:rRNA from 1 species
AGACGUCUACAUUAGAUACCCGGGUAGUCCCAGCCGUAAACAAUGUGCGUUAGGUAUGUCGGUAACCACGUGUUACUGAUGUGCCGAAGAGAAAUCGUGAAACGCACCACCUGGGAAGUACGGUCGCAAGGCUGAAACUUAAAGGAAUUGGCGGGGAGCACCACAACGGGUGGAGCCUGCGGUUUAAUUGGACUCAACGCCGGGAAGCUCACCGGAUAAGACAGCGGAAUGAUUGCCGGGCUGAAGACUCUGCAUGACUAGCUG